rnacentral:lncRNA from 9 species
GGCUAGGGGUCAAAUCAGAGCUACAGCUGCUGGCCUAUACCACAGCUCACGGCGGUGACCGAUCCUUAACCCACUGAGCGAGGCCAGGGAUCAAACCCGCAUCCGCAUGGAUCCUAGUUGGGUUUGUUACCUGCUGAGCCACAAAGGGAACUCCUCUCCCCAACUUUUGAGCGUCACUCACCCACCUGUCUUCCCUUGGGUCUGCAUCAGCCUGGCCCUGACCUUCUUCUGCAGAAAUCCCCCCAGCCUCCUGGGCAGCAGCGGCAGAAGGCUGUCGAGUACAGGGCUGGCUCCCCCCAACUUUCAUGUCCCUGUUGAAGACGGUGGAUGGCGUGACGAACCAGCCCCUGGAUGUGUCUGUCAAGGUCACCAUCGGCAACUCUGAGGUGUCUGGGGUGCAGGAGGAAGGGAGGUGCCUGCGCUCGGGUGGGGGCGGUGCCAGCCCCUGCUUCCCAGAAACCUGUGCUCCUAGGUAUGGUUUCAGCCCCUGAGCCUCUGUUGUUGCUCUUCCCAUCUGUUUCUCCUGCCAGUUUCAAAAGAAAAGAGAUCUGAGCCUCCUCCUCAAGCCUGGCCUCUUGGCAUCGUAGUCCAACGCCCAUCACCCCGGAGAGAACAGAAGCCGGUUGAGCACAGCUCGGUAACUCUUGGCCUCCUGCUUGCAUCAGCAGCAUGGCCGGCUUUGUGAAGCCCACCUACCCGCUGUCCUCCUUUGUCCCAGACCCUGCUCAGAACCUCAAAGCCCAGCAGCAGAACCUGGUCCCCUUCCUGGAAUCAGACUAUGACCGGCUGAUGCAGCAAUAGGCCCUGCAUCCCGUGCGUGUCACCCGCACCCAGAGGCGGCUCCAGACACCCAGUUCCUGCCCGUGCCUUUCCUUCUCCCACAUCCCGACCAGCUGGCAACACUCCAGGAUGCUCCAGUCGUUAGAAGGGAGUGGACCCGGCGAGGGAAAGAGGAGCAGCAUUGAUUCAAUGCAGCAGGAGCACAGAGAUGAGCCCAAAUCUCGACGAAAGAGGGGCCCUGACGCAGUGCCCCUUUCUCACUUGGCCCCCAGUCCACCGUCCAGUUCCUGGCGGACCACAGACCAGAGGUCACCGUUCUCACCAAGAUCAAAUGUCACGCCGGUCUGUGGUGGGGCAUCAGCCCUGCCAACCGGGCAGCAAUGGUCCAGGAGCUCGCCAAUGCCACGGCCAGCUCCAUCGCCGCGUCCUGGACCGUUCAGAGGUAACCUGGCACCACCCGAACCCACAGCCCUCUGAGCUCCCCGGCUCUUUGCGAGACUUCCAGGUAAACAUCAGGACCUUCCGAGUCCACAGCAGCAGAAAAGUGUAAGGACUAACCUUGAAUGAGGACCGCGUGGCUGUCAGGUUUGGGGGGAAGGCGUUUAGAACUUUAUUAUAACGGGCUGCAGUGAUGCGCUAGCUGAAGAAGAAUCAACCGUGUGUAUUUACGAGAGCACCUCUGUCGUCCCAGAGAGGCCCCUCACGGCCUUUCUCGUCCGGAUCCACGCACGCAGGGCUCUGCUUUCCAUCACCGUGGGGCAGUGCUCUCUGUCCCUGAACUUCACAUGCCCAGACCGUGGACCUGCGCUCACCUGGACAGCUGCGCUUUUGAGAUGCGUCCAUACUGUCGCAUGCAUGCGUUGUCUUUUCAAUGUGCUGAGUGAUAUCUCGUGCCUACAUUCGACGGCUUUCCAUUCUGGUGGACAUUUGCGUUGUACCCAUUUUUAAGGCACAUGUUCCCUUUUCUCCUGAGAAAACACCUAGGAAGAAUCGUUUCAUGACGUUUAGCCUUUUAAGGAACUUAGAAGCAGUUUCCAAAGUGGAUGUGCCCUCUCGGCUCCCACCAGCAAUGUGCAAGGGUUCCAGUUACUCCGCAUCCACACUGGCAGCAGGCAUGGUCCACUUUGGGCGUUCAUUCGGCCGUUCCGGCUGUCCAUACGGUGAAUUGAAUUAUUUUCUCAUGUUUGACCAGUUUUGCGUUCUCAGGAUAAACCCCAUUUGUUCUGUCUCGUGUGGCUUGGCAUCCUGGCAUUGGGGUCACCCGUCUUUGGGACUGUUAUACCUUCCUGGAAUUUCCAUGACGACACUACUAGAUCUUUCCAUAUUGACUAACAAAUCCACGAGGACGUCAUUUUUGGAAACGCCUUCUUUCAGUUCCUUGAAUUAGAUCACUUUCAUUGACCUGUUUUGGAGUUUAUGGGCUCUUUCCUCUGUCACCUUCGUUCUGCUACCAGCCUAUUCAGUGUAUCUCCUGUACCUUGCAUCUCGGUUCUAGAAUUUUUAUUUCUUUUUUAAUCAACUUUUUCUUUAAUUUUACACUUACAGGAGGUUUUGCAAAGAUAGGAGAAAAUGUAUCCAAAUGCCCCUCUGUUUUCCUUCAUGUUAACAUCUUUCUUUACAAAGAACCAUGGUAUGUUUUUCAAAACUGAAGUUGGUAUGUUACACUAGCUAAACUCCAGACUGUGUUCAGAUUUCACCAGUUUUUACAUGAAUGUGGUUUUUUUUUUUUUUUGUUCCAAGAUUCAAUCCAGGAGACCACAUCGCAUUUAGAGAUUCUUGGUUACAGUUUGUCUGUCUUUGCCAAAACUUCUGUUUUUCCACUCAUUUCAAGGCUGUCCAGCUUUACCUCAUGAAGGGUAAUUAGAACAGCUGCCUCCAAGUUCACGUCUGAUAAUUCCCACAUCUGGGUCAUUUUGGGGUUGUCAUCUUUUGAUUGCCUUUCCCCUUGGGUUUUGGUCAGAUUUUCCUGGUUCUUGAGUGCUGAGCAAUGCUCAAUUUUUUAUCUUGGACAUGUUGUUUGUUUGUGUUAUGUGAGAAGACUGGAUCCUAUUAAAAACACCCU